rnacentral:rRNA from 1 species
AUUGAACGCUGGCGGCGUGCCUAACACAUGCAAGUCGAGCGGUAACAGGCGUAGCAAUACGUGCUGACGAGCGGCGAACGGGUGAGCAAUGCUUCGGAAUCUGCCCAAUGAUGGGGAAUAACCAGUCGAAAGAUUGGCUAAUACCGCAUAAGCCCUUCGGGGGAAAGCGGGGGUCGCAAGACCUCGCGUCGAUGGAUGAGCCGAAGUCGGAUUAGCUAGUUGGUAGGGUAACGGCCUACCAAGGCGACGAUCCGUAGCUGGUCUGAGAGGACGACCAGCCAAACUGGGACUGGGACACGGCCCAGACUCCUACGGGAGGCAGCAGUGGGGAGUAUUGGACAAUGGGGGCAACCCUGAUCCAGCGACGCCGCGUGUGUGAAGAAGGCCUGCGGGUUGUAAAGCACUUUUAGUGGGGAUGAAAAGCACAUUGCUAAUACCAGUGUGUCUUGACCUAACCCAAAGAAAAAGCACCGGCUAACUCUGUGCCAGCAGCCGCAGUAA